GUAGUCAUAUGCUUGUCUCAAAGAUUAAGCCAUGCAUGUCUAAGUAUAAGCAAAUUUAUACCGUGAAACUGCGAAUGGCUCAUUAAAUCAGUUAUCGUUUAUUUGAUAGUACCUUACUACUUGGAUAACCGUGGUAAUUCUAGAGCUAAUACAUGCUAAAAGCCCCGACUUCGGAAGGGGUGUAUUUAUUAGAUUAAAAACCAAUGCCCUUCGGGGCUCUUUGGUGAUUCAUAAUAACUUAACGAAUCGCAUGGCCUUGUGCCGGCGAUGGUUCACUCAAAUUUCUGCCCUAUCAACUUUCGAUGGUAGUAUAUGGGACUACCAUGGUUUCAACGGGUAACGGGGAAU
rnacentral:rRNA from 1 species